UCUGGUUGAUCCUGCCGGACCCGACUGCUAUAGAGUGGGACUAAGCAUGCGAGUUAACGCAGCAAUGCGUGGCACACGGCUCAGUAACACGUAGUCAACAUGCCCAGGGGACGUGGAUAACCUCGGGAAACUGAGGAUAAACCGCGAUAGGCCAAGAUUUCUGGAAUGGAUCAUGGCUGAAACCUACAUGGCCCCUGGAUUGGACUGCGGCCGAUCAGGCUGUUGGUGAGGUAAUGGCCCACCAAACCUGUAACCGGUACGGGCUCUGAGAGGAGGAGCCCGGAGAUGGGCACUGAGACAAGGGCCCAGGCCCUAUGGGGCGCAGCAGGCGCGAAACCUCUGCAAUAGGCGAAAGCUUGACAGGGUUACUCUGAGUGAUGUCCGUUAAGGGCAUCUUUUGGCACUUCUAAAAAUAGUGUAGAAUAAGGGGUGGGCAGGUCUGGUGUCAGCCGCCGCGGUAAUACCAGCACCCCGAGUGGUCGGGACGAUUAUUGGGCCUAAAGCAUCCGUAGCCGGUUCUGCAAGUCUUCCGUUAAAUCCACCUGCUCAACAGAUGGGCUGCGGGGGAUACUACAGGGCUAGGAGGCGGGAGAGGCAAGCGGUACUCGGUGGGUAGGGGUAAAAUCCUCUGAUCCACCGAAGACCACCAGUGGCGAAGGCGGCUUGCCAGAACGCGCUCGACGGUGAGGGAUGAAAGCUGGGGGAGCAAACCGGAUUAGAUACCCGGGUAGUCCCAGCUGUAAACGAUGCAGACUCGGUGAUGGGUUGGCUUUGAGCCAACCCAGUGCCGCAGGGAAGCCGUUAAGUCUGCCGCCUGGGGAGUACGGUCGCAAGACUGAAACUUAAAGGAAUUGGCGGGGGAGCA
rnacentral:rRNA from 1 species